UCGAGAAUCAUUCGCAAUGGGCGAAAGCCUGACGAUGCGACGCCGUGUGAGCGAUGAAGGCCUUAGGGUUGUAAAGCUCUUUCGCCUGGGAACAAGGGAAUCUGGCUAACAUCCGGAGACUUUGAGGGUACCAGGUAAAGAAGCACCGGCUAACUCCGUGCCAGCAGCUGCGGUAAUACGGAGGGUGCAAGCAUUAAUCGGAUUUAUUGGGCGUAAAGGGCGCGUAGGCGGAAAGAAAAGUCAGAUGUGAAAUCCCGGGGCUCAACCUCGGAACAGCAUUUGAAACUCUCAUUCUAGAGGGUAGGCGGAGAAAACGGAAUUCCACAAGUAGCGGUGAAAUGCGUAGAUAUGUGGAAGAACACCGGUGGCGAAGGCGGUUUUCUAGCUUAUACCUGACGCUGAGGCGCGAAAGCAAGGGGAUCAAACA
rnacentral:rRNA from 1 species